rnacentral:rRNA from 1 species
AUUGAACGCUGGCGGCAUGCCUUACACAUGCAAGUCGAACGGCAGCACGGGAGCAAUCCUGGUGGCGAGUGGCGAACGGGUGAGUAAUAUAUCGGAACGUGCCCAGUCGUGGGGGAUAACGUAGCGAAAGCUACGCUAAUACCGCAUACGAUCUAUGGAUGAAAGCGGGGGAUCGCAAGACCUCGCGCGAUUGGAGCGGCCGAUAUCAGAUUAGGUAGUUGGUGAGGUAAAGGCUCACCAAGCCGACGAUCUGUAGCUGGUCUGAGAGGACGACCAGCCACACUGGGACUGAGACACGGCCCAGACUCCUACGGGAGGCAGCAGUGGGGGAAUUUUGGACAAUGGCGGCAAGGCCUGAUCCAGCAAUGCCGCCGUGCAGGAUGAAGGCC